AUUCUGCAUGAAAUCUGGUAUGAUACUAUGCCUAAAUACCCCUGAAAAUGUAGGAAAAUCAUGUUCGGUCCAUAGUAGACCGUGAGGAUUGUGAGGGAAAUGUUCUCGCAUUCCACACUCCAUCCUGUGGACCGUCGAUCCACCAUGGAUCGAGGUACACCCCUAGGCUGUGCCUGCAUGUGCGCUCGCUGGCUGGGCCAGCCUGCGCAUGCUGGGCUAUGUGUGCGCCCACAUC
rnacentral:lncRNA from 1 species